CCUACGGGUGGCAGCAGUGAGGAAUCUUGGUCAAUGGGCGCGAGCCUGAACCAGCCAAGUAGCGUGAAGGAUGACUGCCCUACGGGUUGUAAACUUCUUUUAUAAAGGAAUAAAGUGAGGCACGUGUGCCUUUUUGUAUGUACUUUAUGAAUAAGGAUCGGCUAACUCCGUGCCAGCAGCCGCGGUAAUACGGAGGCUCCGAGCGUUAUCCUGAUUUAUUGGGUUUAAAGGGAGCGUAGAUGGGUUGUUAAGUCAGUUGUGAAAGUUUGCGGCUCAACCGUAAAAUUGCAAUGGAUACUGGCAGUCUUGAGUACAGUUGAGGUAGGUGGAAUUCGAGGUGUAGCGGUGAAAUGCUUAGAUAUAACGAAGAACUCCGAUGGCGAAGGCAGCUUACUAAACUGCAACUGACAUUGAUGCUCGAAAGUGUGGGUAGCAAACAGGAUUAGAUACCCGUGUAGUC
rnacentral:rRNA from 1 species